UCCGGUCUUGGCGGAAUCCUUGCCACCGAAGACGACGAAAUAGUGUACUUGUUGUAGCGACACACAAUGAAAAUCGACGUAAAACGUUACAUACGCUUUAUAAUGCUACUUGUUUCAUAGCCAGCAAACAAAAUGGUUUUUACCAAAAAAUGGUUACUCACGUUUUUGACCUCAUAAUAGAGGCUUCCUUCUCUGUUAAAGUAUGUGUGUGUGUGACUUCUCUGACAGUGUGUAUUUAUUUUAUUUGAAUAUUUACGAGGCAAAUAACGAUUGGUGAUAUGUAGCAUUAAGAUAAUAGUAAUGCAGUUACAAGUUAAAUUUGACACUGUGCCACGGUAAAGGAAAACGUGAAGAUAAAUGUCUUAGACCUAAAUUAUGACGACGUGUCAGACACCGCAGGAUAAUCAGCUAUUUCGCGGUGUUCUCUCCCAACUCGAGAAGGAGCCAUUAUCAUCGGAACAGAUCCAA